CAAGAUGGCUGACUCUGAGAUGUUAUUUUCAAUAGUUUUGGUGAUUAUAACGUUUUUCUUAUACGGUUUAAAAUGGGCAGUUUUAAUAAGUAUAACUAUUUUUCUUUGCGCUCUUUUUCUUUCACUUUAAAAUUCUCGUGGAAAUGGAAAUGCAGUUAAAAACAAGCCCAAUGAGAGUGGAGAAUAUUGUGAUUAUUUAGACAAUGAUUCAUAUUAUACUGAAAGUCCCACUGCUAGAAACAUGGAGUCAAGAGGGUAUGGAACGAGGCUUGUGAAAAAUAUAGUCCGAAGAAAUCCAACUUUGACACAGAAUGUACCGUUUAAUGAUUUACAAAUGUACAAAAAUCGACAACGAAUACACAUUUCAAGUUUAAGAUCACCAGAGCCACUUUUGUCUCGGGUUACUAUGUUUCAUGUUCUGUGCUCAAUAUUAACUAUAGGUAGUAUUGUAAUUUGCCAAACUCACACCGAAGAUCUUUGGCGUAUUUAGAGUGGAUCGAUAUCGCAAAUACCGAUAUACCGCCAUCAGAAUACCGGUA
rnacentral:lncRNA from 1 species